AAGACUAUACUUUCAGGGAUCAUUUCUAUAGUUCUUGACUUGAGGAAUGUUUUUCUAAAGUGACGGUCUAGCUAACUACGAUGAUGAGAAUUGAUGUUCCUUCCUGAGCGUGAAGCUGGUGUAGGAUAAUGAUUUAUCAUAUGUCCUUCACCUUUGAUGAACGUUCUUUACUUCCUUGUGGAGUAUUGAGGGAGGGAACAUGAUCAGAGUAGU